rnacentral:misc_RNA from 1 species
AAGACUAUAGACCUGCGGAGUACCUGCGGAAGGAUCAUUAUAGAGUGGUAAACCCUCUGUAAAAGGGGGGGACCUCCUGUCCUUUGUAGGCUCUUUUUUAAAGGGCUUUUUUUAAUUUUCUGCUUCGGUGGGGUUAUCCCACCGGAACAACCUCAAAACUCUGAUCAAAAAAUCGUUCUGUCUGAGAACUUUUUAUAAUAAAAAAAACUUUCAACAAUGGAUCUCUAGAUCGGAAGAGCA